UCUCCCGUUGCCCGGUCAUCGAAGUUUCCGAAUUGCUCAGCUGUGUCGGCUGUGCGUGCCCGUGUCCUGUGUGUGCACGACUCUGAUCUCAACGCUGGACGUGAACGGCAUUUAGCGACGGCAGUGCAACAUCGCGUACUGUGAGCGUGUUCGUGUUGGUUUCAUGGUGGUGGUCUGAAGGACUCAAGCGUGCUUGCGCCUUCGUGUAUUCGUGUUCGGCAAGCACCUGGUUAGGCACAGUCGGAAAUGCGAACGAUGGUGCUCAAGAUGGCACAUGCAAUGCUAUGCAGCUGUGGACACCAGCAGCUUAAUAAGAACUCUUGAAGCUCAUCUGGAUGCUUCACAGAACCUUGGAAGACUGAACACUUUUGGCAAAGCAGCAACAGUUCUGGCCCACCUGUUUGUCUACAAGACGGUCUCUUCUGUGAACACUCCUGUGCCUUACAGUAUACUAUACUGAUGAUCUUGUACAUCUCUCAGUAUUUAUGUUUGUCAGCACUUGGACUGCUGCACUGUGUUAUGCACGGUGCUGAGUCCAAACUUUCCAAUAACAGUGUGCAAUUGAAAAUUUUACAUGGCUUGAAAAGAUGCUGAAUGUAAACUCAUUUAAUUUACUAAGCAUGGUUCUUGACUGUUUUACAGCCGUUAUUUAUUCCCUGUUCAAUUUUUAUUCAACCUCAUGGCAUGUCCAGUCCUUGGCUCUAAUGUGCCAAGCCACCACCAGUAUUGAUGGGCAAUUUUUAAUUCAAAGCAUGUUAUUGCCUAACUCCGAGGUAACUUUCCUGUCACGGUAUUCGCAGAUUCAUUUUCAAUGUGGCACUUCUGCAUGAGCCAUAAAUUGAGCUGUUGAAGGUGACGAGGAACCAAUUUUCCAGUCGCAUUUCAUGGCACUAGCUGGCAUGUAAAUAUUGUAACCAUUGGUCUACUAUUUAUGCAUAAUAAUACGGGUGAAUAGGGUUGCUAAAUAAUGCCAUGUUCCCAAGCUUAACUUUAUAAAUUUACAUUAUUUCUUAAAAAUAUGUGAAUAAAGGCAACUGUGUUUACAAACCUUGGCAGAUGGGUCUAUGGUCGACACCACAGGUCUUUAUACAAAACAUUGAAUUGCACAAUCAUGCGUAACAUGUUUUCAUGCCUGAGGGCAAACUAAUGCAAUAUACAAGAAAAAUGGUACACCACCAUGCCUAAGUGUUGCAAGCCUUUAUUACUUAUCGAGUUGCCUUCAUGUGUAAGCAGACACCAAGUUCUCUGUGCAUCAGGGGCAUAGGCAGAAAUUUUUUUCGGGGGGGGGGGGGGGUCGUCUCCUUGAUUUGAAGUGGGAGCCGGGCAGGCAGAUGUGUUCAGUUGUCAUUUUGGGCUCUGUAUGCCAUAGCAAAAAAAAAAUUUCGAGGGGGAGCGGGGG